CUACUACUCCCUCCGUCCGAAAAUACUUUUCAUUGAAAUGGAUGUAUCUAGAUGUAUUUUAGUUCUAGACACAUCCAUUUUGAUGACAAGUAAUUUCGGACGGAGGGAGUAUUAU
rnacentral:pre_miRNA from 1 species